rnacentral:rRNA from 1 species
UUCGCCUACGGGGGCCAGCAGUGGGGGAUAUUGGACAAUGGGGGGAACCCUGAUCCAGCGACGCCGCGUGAGUGAAGAAGUAUUUCGGUAUGUAAAGCUCUAUCAGCAGGGAAGAAAAUGACGGUACCUGACUAAGAAGCCCCGGCUAACUACGUGCCAGCAGCCGCGGUAAUACGUAGGGGGCAAGCGUUAUCCGGAUUUACUGGGUGUAAAGGGAGCGUAGACGGAGGAGCAAGUCUGAUGUGAAAAUCCGGGGCCCAACCCCGGAACUGCAUUGGAAACUGUUUAUCUAGAGUGUCGGAGAG